CAGUAGCCGCGGGAAUACGUAGGUGGCAAGCGUUGUCCGGAAUUAUUGGGCGUAAAGGGCUCGCAGGCGGUUUCUUAAGUCUGAUGUGAAAGCCCCCGGCUCAACCGGGGAGGGUCAUUGGAAACUGGGAAACUUGAGUGCAGAAGAGGAGAGUGGAAUUCCACGUGUAGCGGUGAAAUGCGUAGAGAUGUGGAGGAACACCAGUGGCGAAGGCGAUUCUCUGGUCUGUAACUGACGCUGAGGAGCGAAAGCGUGGGGAGCGAACAGGAUUAGAUACCCCGGUAGUCCCUGUCUCUUAUAC
rnacentral:rRNA from 1 species